rnacentral:rRNA from 1 species
UCGAUGAAGAACGCAGCGAAAUGCGAUACGUAAUGUGAAUUGCAGAAUUCAGUGAAUCAUCGAAUCUUUGAACGCACAUUGCACUCCUUGGUAUUCCGAGGAGUAUGCCUGUUUCAGUAUCAUGAGCACUCUCACAACUAAUCUUUGUUGGUUAAGAUUGUGGAAUUGGGAAGCGCCAGUUGUCAUUGAUUGGCCCUCCUAAAAUGUAGCUCUUGACUGUGGACUACUACAGUAGUUUGGCCUAAUAGUUUUGGCAGUUAUAUGUCAAAUCUUUGGCUACAUUUAUUUUUGGUCCAUGCAGUCUUGAUAUACAGAAAACUCUAAAUACAACUUUGAUCUGAAAUCAGGUAGGGCUACCCGCUGAACUUAA